GAAAAGCGUGGAUGACGUGUUCAACGGCUAAGUCGUUGUAGCGUGUCAAACAAAAGCCCCGGCUCGUGAGAGUCGGGGCUUUUUU
rnacentral:tRNA from 1 species